rnacentral:rRNA from 1 species
AGAGUUUGAUCCUGGCUCAGGACGAACGCUGGCGGCGUGCCUCAUACAUGCAAGUCGAGCGGAUGCAGCAAUGCAUUAGCGGCGGACGGGUGAGUAACACGUGGGCAACCUGGCCUUAAGAGGGGGAUAACGUUCCGAAAGGGACGCUAAUACCGCGUAAAUCAGCGAAAUCGCAUGAUUUUGUUGGAAAAGGAGAAAUCCGCUUAAGGAUGGGCCCGCGGCCUAUUAGCUAGUUGGUAGGGUAACGGCCUACCAAGGCGACGAUAGGUAGCCGACCUGAGAGGGUGAACGGCCACACUGGAACUGAGAAACGGUCCAGACUCCUACGGGAGGCAGCAGUAGGGAAUAUUCCGCAAUGGGCGAAAGCCUGACGGAGCAACGCCGCGUGAGUGAAGAAGGUCUUCGGAUCGUAAAGCUCUGUCAACAGGGACGAAACAAGACGGUACCUGAGAAGGAAGCCACGGCAAACUACGUGCCAGCAGCCGCGGUAAUACGUAGGUGGCAAGCGUUGUCCGGAAUAACUGGGCGUAAAGCGCAUGUAGACGGCAUGAUAAGCCAAAUGUGAAAUGUAGGGGCUCAACCCCUACACUGCGAUUGGAACUGUCAAGCUUGAGUGCAGGAGAGGCAAAUGGAAUUCCCAGUGUAGCAGUGAAAUGCGUAGAGAUUGGGAGGAACACCAGUGGCGAAGGCGAUUUGCUGGACUGCAACUGACGUUGAGAUGCGAAAGCCAGGGGAGCAAACGGGAUUAGAUACCCCGGUAGUCCUGGCCGUAAACGAUGGAUACUAGGUGUAGAGGGUAUCGACCCCUUCUGUGCCGCAGUGAACGCAAUAAGUAUCCCGCCUGGGGAGUACGGUCGCAAGACUGAAACUCAAAGGAAUUGACGGGGGCCCGCACAAGCAGUGGAGCAUGUGGUUUAAUUCGACGCAACCCGAAGAACCUUACCAGGUCUUGACAUUUGUAGAAUUGGGCAGAGAUGCUUAAGUGCCUUUCGGGGAACUACAAAACAGGUGGUGCAUGGUUGUCGUCAGCUCGUGUCGUGAGAUGUUGGGUUAAGUCCCGCAACGAGCGCAACCC